CCUACGGGAGGCAGCAGUGGGGAAUAUUGCACAAUGGAGGAAACUCUGAUGCAGCGACGCCGCGUGAGUGAAGAAGUACUUCGUUAUGUAACGCUCUAUCAGCAGGGAAGUAAAAGACGGUACCUGUGUAUGAAGCCACGGAUAACUACGUGCCAGCAGCCGUGGUACUACGUAGGGGGCAAGCGUUAUCCGGAUUUACUGGGUGGAAAGGGAGCGUAGUCGGGAGUGCAAGUCUGUAGUGAAAGGUGGGGGCUCAACCUCCGGAUUGCUCUGGAAACUGGACGGCUGGAGUGCAGGAGAGGUAAGUGGAAUUCCUAGUGUAGCGGUGAAAUGCGUAGAUAUUAGGAGGAACACCAGUGGCGAAGGCGGCUUACUGGACUGUAACUGACGUUGAGGCUCGAAAGCGUGGGGAGCAAACAGGAUUAGAUACCCCUGUAGUC
rnacentral:rRNA from 1 species